AUUGAACGCUGGCGGCAGGCCUAACACAUGCAAGUCGAGCGAGCGGCGGACGGGUGAGUAAUGUCUGGGAAACUGCCUGAUGGAGGGGGAUAACGACUGGAAACGGUAGCUAAUACUGCAUACAAUUAGAGGUGCCCAGGGGGGAUUAGCUAGUGGGUGGGUGACCGGCUCACCUAGGCGACGAUCCCUAGCUGGUCUGAGAGGAUGACCAGUCACACUGGAACUGAGACACGGUCCAGACUCCUACGGGAGGCAGCAGUGGGGAAUAUUGCACCAUGGUCGCAAGCCUGAUGCAGCCAUGCCGCGUGUGUGAAGAAGGCCUUCGGUUUGUAAAGCACUUUAAGUGGGGAGGCGUUACCAGCAGAAGAAGCACCGGCUAACUCCGUGCCAGCAGCCGCGGUAAUUC
rnacentral:rRNA from 1 species